rnacentral:rRNA from 1 species
AUCCUGGCUCAGAUUGAACGCUGGCGGAAUGCUUUACACAUGCAAGUCGAACGGCAGCACGGGGCAACCUGGUGGCGAGUGGCGAACGGGUGAGUAAUAUAUCGGAACGUGCCCAAUCGUGGGGGAUAACGUAGCGAAAGUUACGCUAAUACCGCAUACGAUCUACGGAUGAAAGCGGGGGACCGUAAGGCCUCGCGCGAUUAGAGCGGCCGAUAUCUGAUUAGCUUGUUGGUGGGGUAAAAGCCCACCAAGGCGACGAUCAGUAGCUGGUCUGAGAGGACGAUCAGCCACACUGGGACUGAGACACGGCCCAGACUCCUACGGGAGGCAGCAGUGGGGAAUUUUGGACAAUGGGGGCAACCCUGAUCCAGCAAUGCCGCGUGAGUGAAGAAGGCCUUCGGGUUGUAAAGCUCUUUUGUCAGGGAAGAAACAGCAGCUCUAACACAGUCUGCGAAUGACGGUACCUGAAGAAUAAGCACCGGCUAACUACGUG